AUUGAACGCUGGCGGCAGGCCUAACAAAUGCAAGUCGGACGGUAGCACAGAGGCGCUUGCUCCUCGGGUGACUAGUGGCGGACGGGUGAGUAAUGUCUGGGGAUCUGCCCGAUAGAGGGGGAUAACCACUGGAAACGGUGGCUAAUACCGCAUAACGUCGCAAGACCAAAGAGGGGGACCUUCGGGCCUCUCACGAUCGGAUGAACCCAGAUGGGAUUAGCUCGUAGGCGGGGUAAUGGCCCACCUAGGCGACGAUCCCUAGCUGGUCUGGGAGGAGGACCAGCGACACUGGAACUGGGACACGGUCCAGACUCCUACGGGAGGCAGCAGUGGGGAAUAGUGCACGAUGGGCGCAAGCCUGAUGCAGCCAUGCGGCGUGUAUGAAGAAGGCCUUCGGGUUGUAAAGUACUUUCAGCGGGGAGGAAGGCGGUGAGGUUAAUAACCUUGCCGAUUGACGUUACCCGCAGAAGAAGCACCGGCUAACUCCGUGCCAGCCGCCGCCGUAA
rnacentral:rRNA from 1 species